UGCCGUGUGGCGGAAUUGGUAUACGCAGCGGACUCAAAAUCCGCCGACUUCGGUCAUACGAGUUCGACUCUCGUCACGGCAACCA
rnacentral:tRNA from 1 species